ACAAGAAUGGAUUUUCCAUAGAUUCAUUCAUUCACAACUCACCUUCACUCUCUCUCAUACGCAAUCUUGAAUCCACACAACAAAAUGAACACUUUUCCUGUUUUUGUUUCUGUUUAUGUUUCUAGCUCGGAGAAUACGAUGAUGUUUUUGUUCAAACGUUGUUGCUGAACUUUUUUUUUGGUCAUUUUCUUAAUUUUUUUUGGGUACUUAUAAUGAAGGGUGAAGAAGAGAUGAUGAAGAAGACAACAACAACAACAACAACAACCUUGGGAGCUCCGAAUGAUGUUCCUGCUGUAGAAAGAAGUGAUGGAAAUGGAAAUAGUGCUGAUGAUGGUGUUGAAGGUGACAAAGAUUGUUCUUUUACUGAAAAGGAGAAUACCCAGUUGAAAAAAGUGGGAAAUGAGGAAACCCAAGUUGAAGAUUCUGAAGAAGAUGAAUCAGAUGAAGAACAACAAGAAAAUGGGGUUGAUGAUCCUGAACUUGAACAAAAAAUUCCUUCUCUUGAUGAUGGGUUCUAUGAAGUUGAAGUUAUUCGUCGCAAGAGAAUCCGAAAGGGAAAGCUGGAGUACUUUGUCAAAUGGUUGGGAUGGGAUGAAUCAGCAAACACUUGGGAGCCUCCGGAAAAUUUAGUUGGCGUUCCGGAUGUUAUCGAGGCUUUUGAGGAGAGCUUUAAUUCAGGAAAGCAGCGGAAGCGCAAACGCAAGGAAGUGGUUCAUAGCGCUCCUCUAAAGAAGAGGGUGGAGCGUUCGGCCACUCCUUACAGCCUUAGAUGCUUAAAAACUACUAAGAACAAUUCACAGGCAGCUCAAAACAAUUCACAGUCUGCCCCUCUUGAGGAAAAACCUAUUAUUCCUGCUAUUCCUGACAUUCCUGCAUUUCCUCAGACCGUGCUGUUUGCCGAUGAAGUAGAGAGUGACGGUGAUGGAAGCAAUCUCAAAAGAACUGAUUAUGCUGAUGGUAGUAGGUCUGAAAAUGUUCCACAAGAGGUUCCUCUAAAUAACGAGGAAAAAGAGUAUGAUCCUAAGCUAAGCGAACUAAAAGCGGCAACAACCAAUGGAAAUGGCGCGGACAACCUCGCAAUACCAUUUCAAGAAGCUAUGGUUUCUCCUGAAAAUACUCAAAUGAAUGAUCUGCCGAAUGCGGUUGGUACAGAACCGAUUACUGAAAACAAUGUGGUUGGCACAGAACAAGUUAAAAAUGGCCCCAGCAGGUCAGCAAACAGACGGAGAAAGUCAUUAUCUGUGAAGAGGUUCAUGAAAGAUUCAAGUGCUAGUAAGCUGGAUGAUACACAAAUACCAAAUUCUGCACCGGUUGGUACAGCUGAGCCAGCAAAAACAGGUGUUACUGAUAAUGUGGUGGCUCCUAGUAGUCAUACAAUGCCGGAACCUGUUAAACCUGCAUGUGAUAUUGUCAAGAUUAUAAAGCCGGUAGACUUUAAAGCUGCGGUAGCAAGCCCCGUGCAGGAUGUUUUGGUGACUUUUGAGGCUUUAAGAGAUAAAUAGCGUUUUACACAUCUUGUAAGGUCGGAUGGAUCAGAAGUUACGGUCGAUAAUAAAUAUCUCAAAACAUAUCAUCCGAUCCUACUGAUUGAUUACUAUGAGCAACAUCUGCGCUACACUCCAAAACCAAAACCAGCGUGAUUGAAGAGUUAUAGGAAGGAGCUUCUAGCUAGAUUUUGAUGUGUUCUUAGUUAUUUUGUAGAUGCUGGAGAUAGUUAAGGGUAAUGAAAGCUUUGUUUGUUAGUGAUACAUAGGUAUUAUUUUGAUGACUAUUUAAACUGCGGAAUAGUUUGUGGCUACAUACUGCAAUGAAUGCUGACAGGUGCUGGUUUCUUAGAGUUCGAGAACAAAACUCGCUUUUGGUUUAAUUUUAAAAUUUCUGGAACUUGUUUAUUUAUUUGUCCGCAUUUUGUGCUUGGUUAACA